UUUUCCCUACGGGACGCAGCAGUGGGGAAUAUUGGGCAAUGGACGCAAGUCUGACCCAGCAACGCCGCGUGAAGGAAGAAGGCUUUCGGGUUGUAAACUUCUUUUAAGGGGGAAGAGCAGAAGACGGUACCCCUUGAAUAAGCCACGGCUAACUACGUGCCAGCAGCCGCGGUAAUACGUAGGUGGCAAGCGUUGUCCGGAUUUACUGGGUGUAAAGGGCGUGCAGCCGGGAAGACAAGUCAGAUGUGAAAUCCCGCGGCUCAACCGCGGAACUGCAUUUGAAACUGUUUUUCUUGAGUAUCGGG
rnacentral:rRNA from 1 species